rnacentral:rRNA from 1 species
UACGUAGGUGGCAAGCGUUGUCCGGAAUUAUUGGGCGUAAAGCGCGCGCAGGCGGCCUUUUAAGUCUGAUGUGAAAGCCCACGGCUCAACCGUGGAAGGUCAUUGGAAACUGAAAGGCUUGAGUACAGAAGAGGAAAGCGGAAUUCCACGUGUAGCGGUGAAAUGCGUAGAGAUGUGGAGGAACACCAGUGGCGAAGGCGGCUUUCUGGUCUGUAACUGACGCUGAGGCGCGAAGGCUAGGGGAGCGAACAGG